rfam:Lupinus angustifolius cultivar Tanjil contig_25199, whole genome shotgun sequence.
UGAGGUCAGUGAUGAGUAUAAGAUUUUGCCUACAUUGGAUGAUUAUCUCUUUCUAGAUAUGAUCUGUACAAAUCAUCUGAGGCCUCC